rnacentral:rRNA from 1 species
AUUCAACGCUGGCGGCAGGCCUAACACAUGCAAGUCGAGCGGUGCGGCGGACGGGCGCGUAAUGCCUCGGACGCUGCCUGGUAGUUGGGGAUAACGUACGGCAACGGGCGUUAAUACAGCAUACUCUCAGAUGAGCCUAGGUGGGAUUAGCUAGUUGGUGUGGUAAUGGCCUACCUAGGCGACGAUCCGUUACUGGUCUGAGAGGUUGAUCAGUCACACUGGAACUGAGACACGGUCCAGACUCCUACGGGAGGCAGCAGUGGGGAAUAUUGGACAAUGGGCGAAAGCCUGAUGCAGCCAUGCCGCGUGUGUGAAGAAGGUCUUCGGAUUGUAAAGCACUUUAAGUUGGGAGGCGUUACCAACAGAAUAAGCACCGGCUAACUUCGUGACAGCAGCCGCGGUAAUUC